rnacentral:rRNA from 1 species
GACGAACGCUGGCGGCGUGCCUAAUACAUGCAAGUUGAGCGCUGAAGGUUGGUACUUGUACCGACUGGAUGAGCAGCGAACGGGUGAGUAACGCGUGGGUAAUCUGCCUUUGAGCGGGGGACCACAUUUGGAAACGAAUGCUAAUACCGCAUAAAAACUUUAAACACAAGUUUUAAGUUUGAAAGAUGCAAUUGCAUCACUCAAAGAUGAUCCCGCGUUGUAUUAGCUAGUUGGUGAGGUAAAGGCUCACCAAGGCGAUGAUACAUAGCCGACCUGAGAGGGUGAUCGGCCACAUUGGGACUGAGACACGGCCCAAACUCCGACGGGAGGCAGCAGUAGGGAAUCUUCGGCAAUGGACGAAAGUCUGACCGAGCAACGCCGCGUGAGUGAAGAAGGUUUUCGGAUCGUAAAACUCUGUUGGUAGAGAAGAACGUUGGUGAGAGUGGAAAGCUCAUCAAGUGACGGUAACUACCCAGAAAGGGACGGCUAACUACGUG